rnacentral:rRNA from 1 species
UACAGAGGUGGCAAGCGUUGUUCGGAAUUACUGGGCGUAAAGGGCGCGUAGGCGGCCCGUCAAGUCCCGUGUGAAAGCCCCCGGCUCAACCGGGGAACGGCGCGGGAAACUAGCAGGCUUGAGUUCGGGAGAGGGAAGCGGAAUUCCGGGUGUAGCGGUGAAAUGCGCAGAUAUCAGGAAGAACACCGAUGGCGAAAGCAGCUCUCUGGGACGGUACUGACGCUGAGGCGCGAAAGCGUGGGGAGCGAACAGG